rnacentral:rRNA from 1 species
UUGCUGCAGUUAAAAAGCUCGUAGUUGAAAUUCUGCUCCGGCAGUUCAAUUUCCAAUAGGUUAUUGACACUCCGGGCAUCAGUCUGCAAUCUUUUUCACGGCAUUCACUUGUCGGGCUAGGGAGCAGACGCUUUACCUUGAGAAAAUUAGAGUGUUCCAGGCAGGCUUCAGCCCGAAUACAUUAGCAUGGAAUAAUAGAAUAGGACUAGAGACUAUUUAUUGGUUUAAGGCUCUAGUAAUGAUUAAUAGGAACAGUCGGGGGCAUUAGUACUUAACAGUCAGAGGUGAAAUUCUAGGAUUUGUUAAAGACUAACUAAUGCGAAAGCAUUUGCCAAGCAUGUUUUCAUUAAUCAAGAACGAAAGUUAGGGGAUCAAAGACGAUUAGAUACCGUCGUAGUCUUAACUAUAAACUAUACCGACUCGGAAUUGGACAAUUUCAAUAUAGAUUGUUCAGCGCCGUAAGAGAAAUCAAAGUCUUUGGGUUCUUGGUGGAGUACGAUCGCAAGAUUGAAACUUAAAGGAAUUGACGGUUUUGCACCACCAUGGAGUGGAGCCUGCGGCUUAAUUCGACUCAACACGGGAAAACUUAUCAGGGUAAAAAGGUAUUGGGAUUGACAGAUUGAGAGUUCU